rnacentral:tRNA from 1 species
GCUGAGAUGGCGGAACUGGUAGACGCACUAGCUUCAGGAGCUAGCGAUAGAAAUAUCGUGGGAGUUCGAUUCUCCCUCUCAGCA